GGAGGGUGCGAGCGUUAAUCGGAAUUACUGGGCGUAAAGCGCGCGUAGGCGGCCUGAUCAGUCGGAUGUGAAAGCCCUGGGCUUAACCUGGGAAUUGCAUUCGAAACUGUCAGGCUAGAGUAUGGGAGAGGGAAGUGGAAUUUCCGGUGUAGCGGUGAAAUGCGUAGAUAUCGGAAGGAACACCAGUGGCGAAGGCGACUUCCUGGCCCAAUACUGACGCUCAGGUGCGAAAGCGUGGGUAGCGAACAGGGAUUAGAUACCCUGGUAGUCCACGCCGUAAACGAUGAGAACUAGAUGUCGGGAGGAUUUACCUCUCGGUGUCGCAGCUAACGCGUUAAGUUCUCCGCCUGGGGAGUACGCCGGCAACGGUA
rnacentral:rRNA from 1 species